UGGGUGCCUGUGGCCGGCCAGAGAGAGGAAAGCGUGGGUCCAGGGUGCCUGCUGCCAGCUGGAAGAGGGAAUUCUGGGUCCUGAGUGUGGGCUGAGGCAGAGGUGGUUAGGAUUGAGCAGGCUG